UUCCCAUAUGAUCACCAAAGUUAAGCAAUGUUGAACCUGGUAAGUACCUAGAUGGGUGACCAGUUGGGAAUGCCGGGUGUUGUAAGC